rnacentral:rRNA from 1 species
GAUGAACGCUGGCGGCGUGCCUAAUACAUGCAAGUCGAGCGAACGGACGAUAAGCUUGCUUCUCUGAUGUUAGCGGCGGACGGGUGAGUAACACGUGGAUAACCUACCUAUAAGACUGGGAUAACUUCGGGAAACCGGAGCUAAUACCGGAUGAUAUUUUGAACCGCAUGGUUCAAAAGUGAAAGACGGUCUUGCUGUCACUUAUAGAUGGAUCCGCGCUGCAUUAGCUAGUUGGUAAGGUAACGGCUUACCAAGGCAACGAUGCAUAGCCGACCUUAGAGGGUGAUCGGCCACACUGGAACUGAGACACGGUCCAGACUCCUACGGGAGGCAGCAGUAGGGAAUCUUCCGCAAUGGGCGAAAGCCUGACGGAGCAACGCCGCGUGAGUGAUGAAGGUCUUCGGAUCGUAAAACUCUGUUAUUAGGGAAGAACAUAUGUGUAAGUAACUGUGCACAUCUUGACGGUACCUAAUCAGAAAGCCACGGCUAACUACGUG